UACGAAGGGGGCUAGCGUUGUUCGGAAUUAAUGGGAGUAAAGGGUGCGUAGGCGGCUUUUAAAGUAAGGGGUGAAAGCCCAGAGCUCAACUCUGGAAUUGCCUUUGAGACUGAGUGGCUUGAGUACGAGAGAGGUGAGUGGAAUUCCCAGUGUAGAGGUGAAAUUCGUAGAUAUUGGGAAGAACACCGGUGGCGAAGGCGGCUCACUGGCUCGUAACUGACGCUCAUGCACGACAGCGUGGGGAUCAAACAGG
rnacentral:rRNA from 1 species